rfam:Nanohaloarchaea archaeon SG9, complete genome.
GGGCCCGUAGCUCAGCCUGGACAGAGCGCGAGACUUCUAAUCUCGUUGUCAAGGGUUCAAAUCCCUUCGGGUCCG